rnacentral:lncRNA from 1 species
CUGGACUGCCUGGUGUGUUUGGAGCAAGGGCAAUUAAUUCAGCAGCUUUGAGACUCAUUUCCUAUGAAUGUACUAAAGAAGUUCAGGAUAGCAGUAAGGAAUUGAAGACUGAAAAUAAAGAAACAAAGGAAACUGCUGCCACAACUCUGGAUGAAAUCAUCCCUGGGCCAAAGGUGGCAUAUGAAAGUUCUUACCAGGUAUUCCCACGUAUCCGUGCUACAGAUAACUGCAU